rnacentral:rRNA from 1 species
GCCAGAGCCAUAUCAACCUGCAGUUCUCGCCUGGUGUCCCACUGAGGCUUAGCUGGGUUGAGCUGGGUCAGUACCUGGAUGGGAGACCUCCUGGGGAAAACUAAGGUUGCUGCUGGAA